UUCUCUGGGAAGUCCAUUUGCAAUACAGUUCAGCCUCAGGCCGAAUCUGCAGUUGGAUGCAGGCACAAUUCUUCCGCUCUAAUGUUCAAGUUACUUUAACCCUUGUGUAGUCUUCAUUCUGUAUACUCCUCUUGUCCAAAGGGUGAAAAAUGACCUUCACUAAACCCCUGAAAUAAAGCAGCUUAAUUGAAUUUUAAACCCCAAAUCUAUUUUGCAUGAAGAAACAACAUGUCACUUAUUACAAACUUUGUCAUAAAAUUUCAAGUUGACAAAAUAUCUUUAUGGGGGUUUUCUCUGCUGUUAAACAUGGAGGCGGGACCCUUAAGAUAACACAAGGGUUAUUCAUUCAUUAUCCUAACCCAAUUAUCCUGAACAGGGUGCAGGGGGGCUGGAGCCUAUCCCAGCAUACAUUGGACGAAAGGCAGGAAUACACCCUGGACAGGUCGCCAGUCCAUCGCAGGGCACACACACCAUUCACUCACACACUCAUACCUAUGGGCAGUUUAGCCUCACCAAUCAGUCUAACCUGCAUGUCUUUGGACUGUGGGAGGAAACCCACAAAACACCGGGAGAGCAUGCAAACUCCACAGAGAGAUGCCCCGGCCGACCAGGAUUCAAACCCAGGACCUUCUUGCUGUGAGGCGGCAGUGCUACCCACUGCGCCAUCUGUGCCGCCACUCAACGGUUAAUGUCGCUUUAUUUUCUUUGCGGACUGCAUUAGCGCAUUUCUAAUUUGGGCUGUUUUCCAUCCCCUUGUAGUCCCAGUGUCUCCCCCUGAACCGCCCCACCUCUGUCAGCUCUGUUAAGAAGCAAUAAGGCUUUUUAACAGAGCCCUAAUAUUGCAGUAAGGACCUGCUUUAAUUUGCAAGCUUUAAGUUCCCAGUGGAAACUUUCACAUUGUAGAUGUAAUGCUUGUGACCUACAAGGGCCCAAAAUUUUACCAUAUGAAAAAGGAAAUAUAAUUUUUUGGACCUCACCCCAUUGUAUUUGCUGGGAGUGAGUAAGUUCUAGUGACAGAAGCUAACCCAACUUACUGGGGAUGACUGGCUUUUCCCAUUUGACUGGCUCCAAUUCACUCCCGUUCAUUUUUGAGACCUCACCAAAAUUAGUACAAAAUAACGAAAGAGAAUAAUAGAGUGAUAAAAAAGACUUUGGCGAAAAAAUACAGCAAUAUCAUUGUUUUAAUGAACGUGCCCAUGUUAAUAUGCAGGAAUACAUCACUUAGUUAAGAUAACAAAACCUUUUCUGGAUUCUUUAAUAAAAUGGCAAAAAUACAUCAGAAAAAAAGCAGAUGCCUCUUUUAUCAAUCUGUUAUCAUACGUAGCUAGUUUGUGCUUUACGACUAUUAAUUUGGGUGGGGUCGCGUAAAUUAAUGGAAGUGUAUUGAGAACCAGACAAAAGGGAAACACAGAGGUGCAGUUAACGGGCAGCAGGGAAAGCUGAUGUUCCUGGUAUUCACUCCACGCAAACACAAUGAGGUUAGCUCCAUAAAACUCAAGUGAAAUGUCCCUUUAAUGGUGGUUCCACAGAGACUCCUGUAUUCUCAGCCUUUGUAUGUUGCACUGUACCCCACAGGACUUGGAGCCCCUGUGAAGUGCACCAUGGGUCAUGGGACUGAUGAGAUCGAUGUGAGGAUGAACGCCGCAUCUCUGCAGUACAAUACAAAAAUAUUCUUUAGGGAUCGAGGGGGAGAAUUUGUGUCUACCAUUUGUAAGAUUAAGCCCUACACUCCAAAUAAGACAACUUCCACUUGUGAGUGCCUAGAGCAGAUGGUUGUUCCUGUGGCACUGGGAUCUUGCUCGGUUCUUCUCGCUAUCCUGUUGGGGACCUGGUGCCGCCUCUACAAAAAGAAGCAAAAACAACCAAAGGGAAGCCAGAGAAGGACUGGUGAGAAAGGUGACACGUAGAUCUAGCCAAUUGCAGUGACCUUCCUCAAAUUUAGGCCGAAUACCUGGUUAAAAUUCAGGGGGAUUUUUCCACAGGAACUACAACAUCGUGGGAAGGAUAUCUUUCUUUUUUUUUUUUCUCACAAUUUUUUGGUAAUGUGAACUGUAAUUUUCCUCCCUGUCACCUUUGUGGGAUAGUUUUUGUGUUCUGCAAUAGAGAUAUUGCAGAACACAAACAGAUAAUUAUGUGACCAGCAGGGCUUGACAUCAACACCUACCAGUGGCCAAAUCCGGAUUGACGUGUGGCGUGUAACUUGUUCACUCUUACUGGCCACUUUGGCAGGUGAGAUUUCAGUCACAUUUUCUGAAUCUGAAAUUAAGUCAAUUGAAUUACGCUUAUGUUCCACCGCAAACGCGUCUUUUGGUCAGAGUAAUACUUUCCAUAUUUCAGAGUUACAUAUACUUUCAUGAGGUAUGGACUUGAAAAUAAAUUCUGACAAAAUAUGUCAAUUACCUAAUUUGUAUACUUUACUCAAAAUGACAAAUUUGAACAUUUUUGUUUUUGUUGCAGUCUAUAACCUAGUAAGAUAUUGUUAUAAUUCUUUCAGAUUCUAAAUAAGACAUUUUGAAGAUAUUUUGAGCCAAUUUGUAUCACCAGUCCCCAAUGGCCAUUUUUCUCGAAAUUUCAGAUUUUCCAUGAAGAUUUUUCAUGAAAAUUGUGAAAUUUCAGAAUCUAACAAUGGAAUUUGUGAUGCUGUACCUGUCCCUAAAGCUUAUAACCUGGUUCUCCUGGAUAUGAAGUAAAGGAUUUCAAAGUUUAUACAUGGUGUAAUCACUCAAAAGGUGGCAUUAUCCUGACAAUUUAAGACGUGAGGGAUGAUUUGCAGCAGUAAACAGAAAAGGGUCAUUGAUUUUUUCAGUGGAACAGAACCUCAAGGCAAUUUUCUGGUGCUACUACAUGAUACUACAACUCCCAUGAGCACUAGGUGCCAUCUCACUCCAGUUUCUUCAGUGGGAGCAGGCAAACUCGGGUGAACACAGCGCUGCAACUUCAAAGUGUCUGUUUGUAUCCAUGGCACUGGACAGCGCAGAUUCAGAUCCUCUAGUUCCAACCUGAAAACAUGGAAGUGACAACGAUCGCAGCACCGAACACAGAAAAAGAUAACGGUUCAGUAAAUGAGCGUGAACUUCGACCACAGACAGUUCUGCGACUUUGAGAAAUGCCCAUGAAUUCAAAGUUGCUUUAGCUUAUUUUUAAAAGGCAAAGAAAAUAAAAAAGGGAAAACAAAAAAAGAAAGAAAGUAGGCUUGUCACAGUGUCUGGUUUAAGCUGUGCAUUCAGCAGUUAUACUGCAUAAUGCCAAUACUGAUAUUUUGCAAUUGUAAUUAAAAGUAAUCAUUAAAAAAUAGUCAAAGUAAAAACAAUCAAAAAUUAAGAAAGAGUUCUGUUACUCCAUAAAGCGUCUGUAACGGCAGGAUACAAAUAAAAACAUUGUGCAUGUCACAUCAACAUUUUGUAAAAUUGUGGCUAUGGGUGUGGCAGCCUGUCGAGAAGUGGCUAAGUUAUGACUGGGUCCAGGAUGGUUGACGGUUCAAGCCCUGGUGUAGCCACGAUACGAUCCACACAGCGGUUGGGCCCUUGAGCAAGGCCCUUAACCCCGCAUUGCUCCAAGGGGGAUUUUCCCCUGCUUAGUCUAAUCAACUGUAAGUCUCUUCAGCUAAAUAACUGCAAUGUAAUGUGUGCACUUUGUUCUCUGCACUGACACAUGGAGAAUAUUCAUGGCAAAGGUCUGCAAUACAAGUGUUUUGUAAUUGAAAUGAUUUUGAAGUGCAUUUUUUAUUUAAUGUUCUCUUUAACAAGCUAACAUGGUAGUUAAGAGUGGUGUAUAUCUUUUUUGGUUAGUGUAGGUGACUUAGCAAUUACAAUGAUUUUUAUAUACUAUACAUUGUGUGUAUUUGCCUUCAGUACAAUCUAUUUUUGUCAAGUGUAUUUUUUCUUUAAUGAUGUAUUUUAUAUUUCUUUUUAAUAUGAAUGAUGAAUAUAUGUCUCAACUCAUGCAUGUCUCUGCAACAUUAUUUGUGAAUGUAUAUUUUAAUAAAAUGGGUUCCAACUGUUA